UACGUAGGGUGCAAGCGUUAUCCGGAAUUAUUGGGCGUAAAGAGCUCGUAGGCGGUUUGUUGCGUCUGCUGUGAAAACUGGAGGCUCAACCUCCAGCCUGCAGUGGGUACGGGCAGACUAGAGUGCGGUAGGGGAGAUUGGAAUUCCUGGUGUAGCGGUGGAAUGCGCAGAUAUCAGGAGGAACACCGAUGGCGAAGGCAGAUCUCUGGGCCGUAACUGACGCUGAGACGCGAAAGCGUGGGGAGCGAACAGG
rnacentral:rRNA from 1 species